CGCUGGCGGCACGCCUAACACAUGCAAGUCGAACGAAGUAGCAAUACUUAGUGGCAGACGGGUGAGUAACAUGUAGGUAUCUACCCUUUGGCCUGGAAUAACACGAGGAAACUUGUGCUAAUACCGGAUAAGUCUUUACAGAGAAAGCUUUAUGCACCGAUGGAUGAGCCUGCACUUGAUUAGUUUGUUGGUGGGGUAAUGGCCUACCAAGACUGUGAUCAAUAGCUGAUUUGAGAGGAUGAUCAGCCACAUUGGGACUGAGACACGGCCCAAACUCCUACGGGAGGCAGCAGUGGGGAAUCUUGCACAAUGGAGGAAACUCUGAUGCAGCGAUGCCGCGUGAGUGAAGAAGGCCCUUGGGUUGUAAAGCUCUUUCGUCGGGGAAGAAAAUGACUGUACCCGAAUAAGAAGGUCCGGCUAACUUCGUGCCAGCAGCCGCGGUAAUACGAAGGGACCUAGCGUAGUUCGGAAUUACUGGGCUUAAAGAGUUCGUAGGUGGUUGAAAAAGUUGGUGGUGAAAUCCCAGAGCUUAACUCUGGAACUGCCAUCAAAACUUUUCAGCUAGAGUAUGAUAGAGGAAAGCAGAAUUUCUAGUGUAGAGGUGAAAUUCGUAGAUAUUAGAAAGAAUACCAAUUGCGAAGGCAGCUUUCUGGAUCAUUACUGACACUGAGGAACGAAAGCAUGGGUAGCGAAGAGGAUUAGAUACCCUCGUAGUCCAUGCCGUAAACGAUGUGUGUUAGACGUUGGAAACUUGUUUUCAGUGUCGCAGCGAAAGCGAUAAACACACCGCCUGGGGA
rnacentral:rRNA from 1 species